GCGGAUGUGGCGGAACGGGCAGACGCGCUAGAUUUAGGUUCUAGUGGGGUGACCCGUGCAGGUUCGAUUCCUGUCAUCCGUA
rnacentral:tRNA from 1 species